ACGGCUGCUAAUACCGCAUACGCCCCAAGGGGGAAAGCGGGGGAUCUUCGGACCUCGCGCUAUUGGAUGAGCCUGCGUAGGAUUAGCUUGUUGGUGAGGUAAAGGCUCACCAAGGCGACGAUCCUUAGCUGGUCUGAGAGGAUGAUCAGCCACACUGGAACUGAGACACGGUCCAGACUCCUACGGGAGGCAGCAGUGGGGAAUAUUGCGCAAUGGGGGCAACCCUGACGCAGCCAUGCCGCGUGUGUGAAGAAGGCCUUAGGGUUGUAAAGCACUUUCAAUUGGGAAGAAAAGCUAGUCGUUAAUAACGGCUAGCCCUGACAUUACCUUUAGAAGAAGCACCGGCUAACUCCGUGCCAGCAGCCGCGGUAAUACGGAGGGUGCGAGCGUUAAUCGGAAUUACUGGGCGUAAAGCGCGCGUAGGCGGUUUGUUAAGUCAGCUGUGAAAGCCCCGGGCUCAACCUGGGAACUGCAGUUGAUACUGGCCGACUAGAGUACGAGAGAGGGAGGUAGAAUUCCAUGUGUAGCGGUGAAAUGCGUAGAUAUAUGGAGGAAUACCAGUGGCGAA
rnacentral:rRNA from 1 species